UACGAAGGGGGCUAGCGUUGCUCGGAAUACUGGGCGUAAAGCGCACGUAGGCGGGUUGUUAAGUCGGGGGUGAAAUCCUGGAGCUCAACUCCAGAACUGCCUUCGAAACUGACGAUCUUGAGUUCGGGAGAGGUGAGUGGAACUGCGAGUGUAGAGGUGAAAUUCGUAGAUAUUCGCAAGAACACCAGUGGCGAAGGCGGCUCACUGGCCCGAUACUGACGCUGAGGUGCGAAAGCGUGGGAGCAACAGG
rnacentral:rRNA from 1 species